rnacentral:rRNA from 1 species
UACGAAGGGGGCUAGCGUUGCUCGGAAUUACUGGGCGUAAAGGGCACGUAGGCGGCACUGUUAGUCAGGCGUGAAAUUCCUGGGCUCAACCUGGGGACUGCGCUUGAUACGGCAGAGCUUGAGGAUGGAAGAGGGUCGCGGAAUUCCCAGUGUAGAGGUGAAAUUCGUAGAUAUUGGGAAGAACACCGGUGGCGAAGGCGGCGACCUGGUCCAUUACUGACGCUGAGGCGCGACAGCGUGGGGAGCAAACAGG